AGUGAACGCUGGCGGUAGGCCUAACACAUGCAAGUCGAACGGCCGGACAGUAAGAGCUUGCUCCUACGGUUGGCGAGGGGCGGACGGGUGAGGAAUACAUCGGAAUCUACUUUUUCGUGGGUGAUAACGUAGGGAAACUUCUGCUAAUACCGCAUAUGACCUACGGCAUGAAUCAGUGGAUCUUCGGACUUUUGCUGUUUCAAUGAGCUGGUGCCGGAUUAGCUAGUUGGCGAGGUAAAGGCCCACCAAGGCGACGAUACGUAGCUGGUCUGAGAGGAUGAUCAGCCACACUGGAACUGAGACACGGUCCAGACUCCUACGGGAGGCAGCAGUGGGGAAUCUUGGACAAUGGGCGAAAGCCUGAUCCAGCCAUACCGCGUGGGUGAAGAAGGCCUUCGGGUUGUAAAGCCCUUUUAUUGGGAAAGAAAAGCAGCAGGUUAAUCCCCCGCUGUUCUGACGGUACCCAAAGAAUAAGCACCGGCUAACUUCGUG
rnacentral:rRNA from 1 species